CAAUAGCGUAUAUUAAAAGUUGUUGCAGUUAAAAAAGCUCGUAGUUGGACCUCUGGGAGGGACCCAAUGUCCGCCGUGUGCGUGCGCAGCGGGGCCCUUCCAUCCUUCUGUUAACGUUUCUCGGUAUUCGCUUACUGGUUUCGGGCUCAGAUAUUUUUACCUUGAGAAAAUUAGAGUGUUUCAGGCAGGCUAGGCCGGAAUACAUUAGCAUGGAAUAAUGGAAUAGGACUACGGUCUCUUUGUUGGUUUGAGGGACUGCAGUAAUGAUUAAUAGGGAUAGUUGGGGGGCAUUAGUAUUUAAUUGUCAGAGGUGGAAUUCUCGGAUUUGUUAAAGACUAACUUAUGCGAAAGCAUUUGCCAAGGAUGUUUUCAUUAAUCAAGAACGAAAGUUAGGGGAUCAAAGACGAUUA
rnacentral:rRNA from 1 species